GACGAACGCUGGCGGCGUGCUUAACACAUGCAAGUCGAACGGAAAGGCCCUGCUUUUGUGGGGUGCUCGAGUGGCGAACGGGUGAGUAACACGUGAGUAACCUGCCCUUGACUUUGGGAUAACUUCAGGAAACUGGGGCUAAUACCGGAUAGGAGCUCCUGCUGCAUGGUGGGGGUUGGAAAGUUUCGGCGGUUGGGGAUGGACUCGCGGCUUAUCAGCUUGUUGGUGGGGUAGUGGCUUACCAAGGCUUUGACGGGUAGCCGGCCUGAGAGGGUGACCGGCCAAAUUGGGGACGAAGUACGGGCCCGACGCCUGCGGGAGGGAGCAGGGGGGGAUAGUGGACAAUGGGCGGAAGGCUGAAGGCGCAACGGCGCGGGGGGGAUGACGGGCUUCGGGGUGUAAACCGGUUUCGGCUGUGAAGGAGGGGGAGUGAAGGGAAUGGGUAAAGAAGGAACGGCUAAAUACGGG
rnacentral:rRNA from 1 species